CGGGAGGGGCCGCAGCCCGGGAGGGGGCUGCCAGGCGUUUCGGUACGGGCUCUCCAGAGGUAGCUGGUGCAUCUUAUUUUCCUCCCAGUACCUACAGAAAAUUAAUGAAUUUAAACACAAAUACCAAUGUGUUCUAUCAAUGAACGUGCAUCGCCCCGAGGAAAUCGCAACAUUCCAGUUGUAUGCUGCUGCGCUUGAGGGUACUGAAGCCCAGAUUGCUGGACUGGUGGAAAUGUUUCUGGUGGAGGUAUACAGGUACAAGCUCUGUCAGUUCACAGGCAGCAUCAAAAGUAAGAUCAGGACACACCUGGCUCAGGUGCAUGAAACGGUUACAGCGUGUCAGAUUUCAGGCUGUCCUAAAGUGGACCAAGAUGAAAAUGAGUCAUAUAGCAUGGGAAAUGAAGCUAACCAAGAAAAGAAAGAAAACAAAGAAAAUAUUGCAAAAAAAGUCUGUCUUAUUACCUCUGUAUCAGAUGCUUCAAAAUAUGAGUACUCACUGUUGCGACGUGAGCCCAAGGAGUCAGAGCAAUAAUCCUCGUGUCUCUCACUCCUGUGACGUUAACACCUUGUUUGGAGAAGCAGCAGCUCAUUGCAGCUGGAGAAGUCCCGUUCUAUAGUGCAGACUUCUCUUUCCUAUUCCAAGAGCGAAGAUGAAUAAGCCCGGUCUGUGCAUCUUGGCCUCCGUUGCGUUGCCAGUGUUAGAACUUGGACCUUAGCUUAGAUAAAAACCCCUAAAGCUGAACCAAGGUGUAAAAAUUACAGAAAUCAGAAGAAAGCUAGAUGUGACAGUAAGGGGUUAGCUCAUCCUGUGAAAGGUGCUUGUGCCUUAAAGCUGAGUUCUGAGAGAAUGCAGCGUUUCUGCAACACAUGCAACAUAGCACUGAAGUUGAAAGAUGCUCAUAAAAUCCAUGAAAAGGGUCCUGAUGUGGAUUGUGGCUUUAAAUGCCUUUAUUGUUGCAUGACUGAGUGGGACUUAAGAAAAAUAAUUUAAAAUCACACAAGCAGAUAAAGGAAACCUACCAGUGCCUCAUCUGUGAAAGUGUUUUUAUGUCACUAAGUGCCUGGAAAGUGCACAGGAACAGCCAUCAAAGGAAACCUCCUCUCUUUCAUUGCACAAUAUAUUCAUCAUCUUUCGAAACUGAGCAGAUAAGAAAUCUUCACGUAACUUGCCGUUAUCAGGAUCCGUUUAAAUGUCCGCAAAGUGUUUUUACCACUAAGGAAUGGAUCAAGGUCUACAAGCAUCUGCACAACCAUGAUUACAAUUUCAAGCAGCAUCCAUGUACUGAAUGUGAGAGAUGACAGAGACUUUUUUCCAAAUACUUUGUGUUCCCAUAGAAGAUACUACAUCCUUCAUACUUGCUUUCCAUUUCCUGGUAGGCAAGAAACCUUUCAAAUGUGAGAUCUGCUCUUAUGCCUCCAUUGAUGCAAGCUCUCUGCAGUGGCAUUUCAGACACCCGAUUGUGAGAGGUGCUACAAAUGUUGACUGUUCAUAUGGUUGUGUUGGCAGAGUGUGUCAUGUGACGAGUGGGAGCAUUAGCUAGUCUUAGUAAAGCCGUGUUGAAACAUUCAGAAGAAGAGCUUGGACCUUCACAUAUGCUGACAUCACACUGGAGAGGCAUUUGACUGUAGUUUUUGCUGCUAUUCUACCCCUGACAAGCAACUUCUUUGAAAACACAUAAGAAAUAACACCUGGGUUCGGGAGCCUCAUUAGCCAGAUCCCAGCCCGCCUUUACCCUCAAAUCACUUCCUGUGGAACAUUAGGUUCUUCAUGUUUAAACUUCCACCAGAGCAUCACAACAAAUAAAGAAGCUGUUGGCAUUGUCAGACUUUUGUGCUGAAAGCCAGAGGUUAUCUGGAAGAAGAGGAGAAACCGUCCUUAUGUGGCAAUUAGAAGCACUUAGGAUGGUCUUCUCAAAAAGCUUUGUGUACAUUAUUGUACAGGUGGUAACUCCAAUCUGCUGAGAGGAACAUGGAGAUUUGUGCUGCACAAAGGGUGGACAUGUUGACUUUUGUUCUGGUUACCUCUUGCUGAUACAUUCCGCUUACUUACAAAUGAAGAGUUUGGCAUUUCAAGGCAGAAUCUCUUGAAAUGUACCAAAGCUGACAGUGAACCCUACAGGUGGUUUCUGUACUACAUAUCUCAUUUUUAAUACAGGUCUCUAUAUAAAACAGUGGAUGAUUCAAGAAAAUCUACUGAUGCUGUAGUACUCAUAAUAUGACAGAAGCAAACAGUGACUGAAGUGUGUCUACACUGUUCUCUUAAACACAAUUGUAAAGAAUAUACUACUUUAACACAAUAGAAGUUUCCCUUCAGGUCAUUCCGCAUAUAACAGGAAAUGUAAAAGGCCAACAGAAAUAAAUAGGCUACAAGCACAGCAGCAGUGUUGGCAGAAAAUAUCUCAAAAGCAUUUACGGAUUAUGUUUCCUCAUCUACAGUGUAUUGAUUAUUUUCACAAUAAGCAGCUGCCUGUGGAUUCUUGGAUACAGAAAACAUGUGCCAAGAGAUGGCAUGUGAAGAUGAACCAACAGACAUGGGAAAGUGAGCAAUGCAGCAUAACUUUCACAGGAUGCAAUUAAACCUGCCUUAGUCACUGCUGGAGGAACAGGCAGAAACAGAGCUUGUAAGCAACCAGAAGCAAGAGGAACACUUCUCUGAUGUCUGACAAACCAGUGUUUUGGGCGAGACUUCCUUUAUGAACUGUGCUUGACACCUUAAAAAUGAUGCUUGAGAGCCUAAAAUGAAAUUGCGGGCAUCAUGGGCAGCCAGUGGGACCUUCAGAGAGUGACUGAGAG